GCCUAUAGGUUGUCACAGAAUAAGUUAUCUCUAUGAAUGAGGACCAGUGGCGCCUCAAAAUCAAUGAUACAUAGGUUCUGAUCAAGGCGCAUCUACUGCUGGUUGCGAUUUUUUUACUUCUGAAGCUUUUAUUGUUAAAGACAUCAUAUACUCCAUAUUGAUUGAGAUGAUUUUUCCUUAGAUGAAGAAGAUAUUUUGACAGUUGCAGUUAUGCACUUUUAA